AAUACAAUGGGGAGAGGGAGAAAGAAGAGGCCGGGGAGCAGUUGGAGAGGUGGUGGUGGGGAUGGAAAGGGAAAUGAUGGUGCAGAAGCAGGAGAAGGAGAAAGAGCAGAGUCGGUAGCAAAAGUCAAGGGUGGGUUAUGACUUACGAGAGCGGAGAGUACGUAAGAGGAGCCACAGUGCGGCGUCCUGAAUGGGAGGGGUCCCCAUGUGCAGUGCCAACAGUCCCACAUGCAGCCAUAGCCUUCAUCCGGGAACUUUUCACUUGAAGGAAAGGGGAAACUAAAAAAUUAUAACCCCCAUAUCUCUCCCUGUCGCUCUCUCCCUGUCUCUCUUCUCUCCCCCCCCCCUCCUCUUUUCCCUGCACAGUGUUCAAAAAGCAGCGCAGAAGCCAUUGUAUAACAUAAAGGAAAUCUCUUCCUCUCUUUCUCUCUCUCUCUUACACACACACACUCUCUCUUUUCUUACACGCGUAUUGGUUCAGAUUGGCUCGCCACGUGCAAAUCCACAUUGUGGACAGUGAAAACCUCUCUCUCUUUCUCUGUCUGCAUUGUGAAUCUCUGUCUCGACAGAACGAAGUUUCCUAUUUCGUAAACAAUCACCAUUCCUUCUGCUGCAUGUUGGUCUGAGAAAGGAGGAGGAAAUAAAAUAUAGGUAACAGUGCAAUGAGGUGAAGCAGAUGGGUGGCAGUGGUGAAUCUGGAAGAGCCACGCCUCUGAGAAGAGACAUUGAACAGGCCAUUAUUGCCUUAAAGAAAGGUGCGCACCUCCUGAAGUAUGGAAGGAGAGGGAAACCUAAACUGUGUCAUUUCAGACUAUCUGUGGAUGAGAAAUACCUGGUAUGGCUUGCUGGCAAUGAAGAGAAACAUGUCAAGAUAGGCUCUAUUACAAAUGUAAUUCGUGGUCAGGUAAACUUUCAGCAACAGACUCGACCAGAGAAUUUGUAUCAAUCGUUUUCGCUGAUCUAUGGGAAUGGCCAGAAGUCACUUGACCUGAUAUGUAAAGACAAGGAACAGGCAGAAUCUUGGUAUCUAGGUCUGAAAUCACUGGUUUCUGGUUCAAAUCAUUGGAAAGUUUCUUCAAAUUUGAGAAAUGAUGGAGGUGCUCGGUCUUACUCUAAUAGCCCAUCCAGCUAUUCUCGAAAGAAGCAUAUUCCCGAAGUUCUCAGAGGAUCAACUGAAGUUUCACAGGAAACUGAGCGAUUGAAGGUACACAGUUUAUGUGGUAGCCCUUUGGUAUCAUCCACAGGGAAGUGCUUCUCUGAUGGCCUUCAGUUGUCCCCGAGGAUCUGGUCUUUGUCAGAAAAUGUCCCAUCCCCUGUUAUGGGUUCCUUAACUGAUUACAUGCUUCCAGGUUCUCACUUGGUUGAACCAAGCUAUCAUGCAGAACAGACAAGUGGAAGUACAAAAGGUGAAGGGUGUCGGAUGAGCUUGUCUAGUGCAGUUAGCUGUGCCAGCAAUGCUUAUCUGGUUGAUGAAAAGGACAACCUAAAUGAUGUGUUGGUGUGGGGAGAAGGGAUAAUGGGAUCCAUUUUAGGGGGUGCACCAGUUCGAGCAUAUGGCUCCUUUGGAUUGCAGGCUGAUUCUUUAUUUCCAAAGUUACUAGAAUCAGCCAUGACAUUAGAUGUAUUUAGUAUUUCUUGCGGAAAAAAUCAUGCAGCACUUGUUACCAAGAAGGGGGAAGUCUUCUGUUGGGGCAAAGAGAGUGGUGGCAGAUUAGGCCACAAAAUUGACAUGGAUGUAUCUUGUCCAAAGAUUGUUGAAUCCCUUUCUGAUAUAAAUGUACAGUCAGUGAAAUGCGGAGAAUUCCACACUUGUGCCUUGUCACAUUCUGGUGAAGUUUACAUGUGGGGUGGAUUUGGUCAUGGUCUUGAUCCUUCAAAUAACAAAAGCAACAGGAACAUUUGGCUACCCCUUAAGAUACAAUUGGAGGGCAUCUUCAUUUCAAGCAUUGCCUGUGGGGAUUGUCAUACAGCCCUUGUUUCUUCUUCUGGGAAGUUGUUUACAUUUGGUGAAGGAGCUUUUGGAGCUCUUGGUCAUGGUGAUCUUAAAAGCAGUGCACAACCAAGGGAAGUACAAUCCCUGAAGGGAUUAAAGGUAAAAUCAGUGUCUUGUGGCCCAUGGCAUACUGCCGCUAUAGUGGAAAUUCAUCACAACAAUUCAAAUGUUAACCCUUCAGGUGGGAAGUUAUUUACAUGGGGUGAUGGUGAUAAAGGAAAACUUGGGCAUGCUGAUAAAGAAAGGAAGUUGUUUCCCACCUGUGUGGCAUCACUUGCAAAACAUGACUUUCUUCAAGUUUCAUGUGGACGAGCAAUGACUGUAUCAUUAACUGUUUCUGGCAGAGUCUUCACCAUGGGAAGUUCAGUUCAUGGACAGCUGGGGAAUCCAAAUGCAAAAAAUGGGACUAUUGCAUGUGUUGACAGUGCAUUAAAACAUGAGUCUGUCAAAGAGAUUUCCUCAGGUUCAUAUCAUGUGGCAGUUUUGACAUCAAAAGGUAAUGUUUACACAUGGGGAAAGGGUGCAAAUGGAAGGUUAGGAUUGGGUGAUGUUGAAGACAGGAACUCCCCAUCUUUGGUAGAUGGACUCAAAGAUAGAGACGUUAGAAGUAUCAGCUGUGGGUCAAGUUUCACUGCAGUGGUCUGUUGUCAUAGAACUAUUUCAAGAAAUGAUCGAUCAUCAUGCUCUGGAUGCAGAAUAGGAUUUGGCUUUACUAGGAAGAAACAUCAUUGCUACAACUGUGGUUUCACAUUCUGUCAUGCAUGUAGCAGCAAGAAGGCUAUUAAUGCAUCUUUAGCACCAAACAAAAGUAAGCCAUACAGAGUAUGUGGUUCAUGUUUUGUUCAAUUAAGGAGUACUACAAGUGCUGAAUCUGCUCAGGAAACACCUAGUUCCGAACAGUAUUCUCUGAUGAAUAAGCUGUCCAUUUCCAGUUUAAAACUUCCCAAGUCAGAAGCACCAUUUGCAAUGUCACAGAUAUUCUCUCCAAGGAUUUGUGGUCAUGAGGAACUGCAACGUUAUGAAGGGAAGAGCUCGAGGCAUGGUAGAGAGGUGGAAUUGCUUAGUCCCUUUGCAUCAUUCUCCUCUGGUACAAAACGAUGGGGGCAGGUGAAAUGCCCCAAGCAUUUUACUGCAUUUAGAGAGGUUUCCACCCUUUCUAUCUCUCAUUCCAAGAAAGAAGCUGUUGCACCUUCUCCUUCAUAUGAGAAUAGAUGGCAGAGCUUAAUCCCAAAUGCAGCAUACCCAACCUUCCAAGGAUUUGAAGAUGUGAAAAAAAAAGAUUUUACUUUACAGCUUAUUGAGGAAGUACAACGACUUAGAGUUGAGGCCAAGAACCUGGAGGAACAGUGUAAAAUGAAAGAUGAGAAAAUUCAGCAGUACAAAAAGGGAAUCAAAGAAAUUUGGUCACUUGCAAGUGAAGAAGUUGCAAAGUGUAAAGCAGCGAAAGAUGUCCUUAAAGUAUUGACAGCUCGAGUGGACAUACCAGACAAAUUUGCAGGUGAAAAAGAAAUUAACAUUAGUAAGAGGCUUUCAUCUCAUAUGGAAGCAGAGAUCAGCGAUGACUGGUCUCUCGAGGAUAACUUACUUUUGCCAUCCAUUCUGGAACAUAUGAACAAUAAAUACAGCAUCACCUAUUCAUCUAAUGACUGGCCCAUAAGUGCAUCUCCACUGGAUAUGCAACAGCACGGUACUGCUCUGGUUAAUGAUGAAGAGCCUGAGAACAGGGAGCACAGCCAGAAUGGCAGAAAAACAUUGAAAAUAGAUGAUGUGCAUCCACCGUUCUCAGAAUGGGUGGAGCAAGAUGAGCCUGGAGUAUAUAUCACACUCAUGGCCCUACCAGAUGGCCGGACAGACCUCAAACGUGUGAGAUUCAGUCGAAAGCGAUUCACCGAAGAGGAAGCAGAGAUCUGGUGGGCAGAAAAUCGGUUAAACGUGCACCAUAAGUACAAUGUUGUAGGAACUACUAAUACAUGAAAAAACAAACACCUGAUUCUAGAUAUAUGGUAUUCAGAUAAAGCAGUUAUGCUGGUAAGAAGAUGUGAUCCGGGCAUUUCAGAUACUGGUCUUUCUUAAACCAGCAAGUGCAAAAAUAUAUUCUUGCUCAUUCACAUUAACAAGUUCAGUACGUUGACAGCAAUUUUUGGGUGUAGUGAUAAGGGAGCAAUUAGAAUGAACUCCCAUGGCAUUGGUACAGCAGUACAGUUGGCAAACCUGGUGCCUGGCUUUACUCAGAUCGCUAUGGGAUCGAUGAAGUACUGAAUCAAAUGAAACCGAAUUUUUGUAUGAGCACAUUCGUGGAAAUAGUCAUGUUCAGAUUUCAGCUACAUAUAAAUGAAAGUUUGGACAUAGAACACAUGGAACACCACUUCCAUGCAUUUUGAAUUGAUAUUCCUCGGAGCUUGCUCAGUCUUCUCUUUUUCUCCUUGAACCCUUGUUGGUUCUCGUCUGGAAGGCAGAGACCGGUACUCCUUUCUCCUUUUCACCUCCUUCCUCGCAAAGCAUUUCAUCAAUGUUGAUCCUUCCUCCUAAAUGGGCACCAGUAACAUCUUGCUUCCUUAUUUCUCAUUAAUUGGCUGAAAUUUGGAGGAGCACCACCACCUGCUUAGUGCCAAGGGGGCCUCCUUCUCAGCCCAUGUUUGGCCUCUUUCUCUCACUUUCGUCUCUUACUUAUGUUGCUGCCAUUUGUCUAUUUUCUAUGUUUUCUUGCUUUCGUUUGUGUCUAUAUCUACGUUGUCAAUGGGAUUCACUGCCAUUGGAUGGUUUUAUGUAUCGACAUUCUAAUUUUUGUUUCCUCAUAUGCUUAUGCUGGUUACAUUGGAAACACGUCUGUUCUACUUGAGAAUGAUUGGAUGUUCUACUUGAAUAUGAUUGCGUAUUUUCUCACUUGUUUGAAUCAUUGCUCACCGAAUCCAGUUUGGAAGUUCUCAUGUAGCUUUCCUCUAGCCAAUGGAAGAUAUAAAGUUUGUUAAGAUUAAGCUGUUGAGCCGUCAUGAUAUUGUUUACAGCUGCAGAAGAAUAACACAUCAAUGAGUCGCAUAGCAUGAAGAAGACAACAGACUCUUUGUCCAGCUCUAUCAUGUAAAAUUGCAUCUAAUAUCCACAUGCAUGCUAGACAUGAUAAGCAGCAGUAGUACUUGUGUCAAUAGUACAAAAGCAGUUUGUACAGAAAAUAAACUUGGUCCGAGCCCUUCAAGCUGUAGGUCAAUCUCGUGCCAUGUAUACGACAACCACUUCGUCAGGGCAUCCAAGAAAUUAUUUUGAUCUAUUGAAGAUGGAAUGUGAGACUUCUACUACUAUAUAACAACUAUAUUUGAAAUGCUAAGGCAUGGUACUUCUUGCAUAACGCACAUCAAAGAAAUCAUGGUUGAAGGGUUGUAGGUGAUGCGUGAUGAAAGCUUGCAGCAGAAACAAAAUGUCACAAACUCAAGGGGAUUAGUCCGGUGCGCCUGAUUUCAUACAGACUGUCUUCCAGGAUUUUUUUAUUGUAUGUUGUCAGAAUUAUGUAGUUUCUUAUCCAUCUUUGAGAUUUGGGUAAAUGUUUGUACAGUUGCAAUUUAUGUCAAAUGAAAAAUGCAUUUCAGCUAUUAGUUUAUAUAAAAAAGGUUCUGUAUUUUCGGGUA